rfam:Onchocerca flexuosa genome assembly, scaffold: OFLC_contig0000797
GGGGGUUUAGCUCAGUGGUAGAGCGCUCGUUUUGCACGCGAGAGGACGGGGGUUCGAUCCCCCCAAUCUCCA